CACGUAGGAGGCGAGCGUUGUCCGGAAUCAUUGGGCGUAAAGAGCGCGCAGGCGGCUUGGCAAGUCGGGUGUGAAAUCCCGGGGCUCAACCCCGUGACUGCAUUCGAUACUGUCAGGCUAGAGGUAGGUAGGGGAGAUCGGAAUUCCUGGUGUAGCGGUGAAAUGCGCAGAUAUCAGGAGGAACACCGGUGGCGAAGGCGGAUCUCUGGGCCUUACCUGACGCUCAGGCGCGAAAGCGUGGGGAGCAAACAGG
rnacentral:rRNA from 1 species